rnacentral:lncRNA from 1 species
CAAGGAGGCAAAGGUCUCGAAGCAGGAGAAGGCGGUGUGGGUGCUGAACCCUGAGGCGGGGAUGUGGCAGUGUCUGCUGAGUGACUCGGGACAGGUCCUGCUGGAAUCCAACAUCAAGGGUAAGGACCCAGGUUCCAAGGCCUCUGCCUCCUGCGCUGCGGGACCUUCCUGUGGUUGGCAGAGACCACCCAGAGUCCCGGCCUCCCAUUUCACACAUGCACACACAUCACUCACACACUCGCACACACUCAUACACACACUACACAAUCCACACUCACACCCAUGUACUCACACACGCACUCACACACACUGUCACACACUCAUACACUCACACACGUACUCACACACGUACUCACACACACGCAUGCACACACCACUCACACACAUGCACACACGUGCACACGCACACAUUCACACACGCACACAGACGCACACACAUGCACACACACAUUCACACACACUCACACAUGCGCACACACAUGCACUCACACACACAGCCCAGGAGCCAGACCACAGCUUCUCUCUCUCCAGAGUGCCCUGGAUAUGGAUAUGCCCAAACAUAAAACCGAUUCCCCAGCACUGGCGGCCUUUGAGAGCCCCCAGGCACCCUUCCCCUCUCCCCCAACCCCAGGGUCAAACCAGAGACUGGCCAGGAGGGGUUGCAGGGCAGUCCUCAGUCCUCUGGCCCGUGGAGGAGGGCGGUGCAUUGAGCACAUUUCUCUCCCUUGAAGUUCUGCCCACAUGGUCCACCCCGGUGCAGCCAAUGGCCCUGAUUGUGCUGGGGGGCGUCGCCGGCCUCCUGCUUUUCAUUGGGCUAGGCAUCUUCUUCUGUGUCAGGUGCCGGCACCGAAGGGUGAGUAACCCCACACCUGGUCCCCACAAGGCCCUCAAACCCCUGAGUCCUGUACCAGGAGAUCCUGUAUAUGGGACCUGAUUUUGGCCCAGCUCCCUCUGCCCACUCGUAAGUUCCCUUGCUGCCCUGUCCCAGAUCCCACUCGAGGGAGAG